rnacentral:rRNA from 1 species
GACGAACGCUGGCGGCGUGCUUAACACAUGCAAGUCGAACGGUAAGGCCCUUCGGGGUACACGAGUGGCGAACGGGUGGAGUAACACGUGGGUGAUCUGCCCUGCACUUCGGGAUAAGCCUGGGAAACUGGGUCUAAUACCGGAUAGGACUCCUGGCUUCAUGGUUGGGGGUGUAAAGCUUUUGCGGUGUGGGAUGGGCCCGCGGCCUAUCAGCUUGUUGGUGGGGUAAUGGCCUACCAAGGCGACGACGGGUAGCCGGCCUGAGAGGGUGACCGGCCACACUGGGACUGAGAUACGGCCCAGACUCCUACGGGAGGCAGCAGUGGGGAAUAUUGCACAAUGGGCGCGAGCCUGAUGCAGCGACGCCGCGUGAGGGAUGAC